rnacentral:rRNA from 1 species
CGCCUCUUGCAUAUCCAAAUAUAAGAGGUCCCGCCUGCCCUGUGACUAUGAGUUUAACGGCCGCGGUAUUUUGACCGUGCAAAGGUAGCGCAAUCACUUGUCUUUUAAAUGAAGACUUGUAUGAAUGGCACAACGAGGGCUUAACUGUCUCCUUCUUUCAGUCAAUGAAAUUGAUCUACCCGUGCAGAAGCGGGUAUACACACAUAAGACGAGAAGACCCUAUGGAGCUUUCAGACGCACAAAAGGACCACCUUAAACAAACCUCUCUAAAGGACUAAACCAAGUAGUACCCUUUUGAAUGUCUUUGGUUGGGGCGACCUCGGGGGAACAAAUAACCCCCGAAAGGAAUAAGAACAAGCUCUUAUAUUUAAGAAUGACAAUUCUAGAAAUCAGAAGAUCUGCCCGUGCGAUCCGGCAAAGCCGAUCGACGAACCAAGUUACCCUAGGGAUAACAGCGCAAUCCCCUUUUAGAGUCCCUAUCAACAAGGGGGUUUACGACCUCGAUGUUGGAUCAGGACAUCCUAAUGGUGCAGCCGCUAUUAAGGGUUCGUUUGUUCAACGAUUAAAGUCCU